rnacentral:rRNA from 1 species
GACGAACGCUGGCGGCGUGCUUAACACAUGCAAGUCGAACGGAAAGGCCCUGCUUGCAGGGUACUCGAGUGGCGAACGGGUGAGUAACACGUGGGUGAUCUGCCCUGCACUUCGGGAUAAGCCUGGGAAACUGGGUCUAAUACCGGAUAGUAGCCAUUUUUAGUGUGAUGGUUGGAAAGUUUUUUCGGUGUAGGAUGAGCUCGCGGCCUAUCAGCUUGUUGGUGGGGUAAUGGCCUACCAAGGCGGCGACGGGUAGCCGGCCUGAGAGGGUGGACGGCCACAUUGGGACUGAGAUACGGCCCAGACUCCUACGGGAGGCAGCAGUGGGGAAGAUUGCACAAUGGGCGCAAGCCUGAUGCAGCGACGCCGCGGGGGGGAUGACGGCCUUCGGGUUGUAAACUCCUUUCGCUAGGGACGAAGCUUUUUGUGACGGUACCUAGAUAAGAAGCACCGGCUAACUACGUG